rnacentral:tRNA from 1 species
GGGGGUUUAGCUCAGCAGCAUGAGCGCAUGCCUGGCAAGCAUGAGGUCAUGAGUUCAAUACCCA